rnacentral:rRNA from 1 species
GACGAACGCUGGCGGCGUGCCUAACACAUGCAAGUCGAGCGGAGAAACAAAAGAGCAGCUUGCUGCGAUUUGUUUCUUAGCGGCGGACGGGUGAGUAACGCGUGGGUAAUCUGCCUCAAACAGGGGGAUAACACAGGGAAACUUGUGCUAAUACCGCAUAAGACCCCACCAUGGCAUCAUGGAGAGGUCAAAGGAAGAAAUUCCGGUUUGAGAUGAGCCCGCGUCUGAUUAGCUAGUUGGUGAGGUAACGGCUCACCAAGGCGACGAUCAGUAGCCGAACUGAGAGGUUGAUCGGCCACAUUGGGACUGAGACACGGCCCAGACUCCUACGGGAGGCAGCAGUGGGGAAUAUUGCACAAUGGGGGAAACCCUGAUGCAGCGACGCCGCGUGAAGGAAGAAGGCCCUCGGGUUGUAAACUUCUUUGACCAGGACGAAGAAAGUGACGGUACCUGGAGAACAAGCCACGGCUAACUACGUGCCAGCAGCCGCGGUAAUACGUAGGUGGCGAGCGUUGUCCGGAAUUACUGGGUGUAAAGGGCGUGUAGGCGGGUUCUUAAGUCAGAUGUGAAAUCCCGGGGCUCAACUCCGGAGCUGCAUCUGAACUGGGAAUCUUGAGUGCUGGAGGGGAAAGKGAAUCUAGUGUAGCGUGAAUGCGUAGAGAUUAGAGACACAGKGCGAGCGCUUUCUGGAACAGUACUGACGC